AGUGAACGCUGGCGGUAGGCCUAACACAUGCAAGUCGAACGGCAGCACAGGAGAGCUUGCUCUCUGGGUGGCGAGUGGCGGACGGGUGAGGAAUACAUCGGAAUCUACUCUGUCGUGGGGGAUAACGUAGGGAAACUUACGCUAAUACCGCAUACGACCUACGGGGGAAAGCAGGGGAUCUUCGGACCUUGCGCGAUUGAAUGAGCCGAGGUCAGAUUAGCUAGUUGGCGGGGUAAAGGCCCACCAAGGCGACGAUCCGUAGCUGGUCUGAGAGGAUGAUCAGCCACACUGGAACUGAGACACGGUCCAGACUCCUACGGGAGGCAGCAGUGGGGAAUAUUGGACAAUGGGCGCAAGCCUGAUCCAGCCAUACCGCGUGGGUGAAGAAGGCCUUCGGGUUGUAAAGCCCUUUUGUUGGGAAAGAAAUCCAGCUGGCUAAUACCCGGCUGGGAUGACGGUACCCAAAGAAUAAGCACCGGCUAACUUCGUGCCAGCCGCCGCAGUAA
rnacentral:rRNA from 1 species